GAGGGUAUAGCUCAGUGGUAGAGUGCAUGCUUAGCAUGCACAAGGUCCUGGGUUCAAUCCCCAGUACUUCUG
rnacentral:tRNA from 1 species